rnacentral:rRNA from 1 species
GACGAACGCUGGCGGCGUGCUUAACACAUGCAAGUCGAACGGAAAGGCCCUGCUUUUGUGGGGUGCUCGAUUGGCGAACGGGUGAGUAACACGUGAGUAACCUGCCCUUGACUUUGUGAUAACUUCAGGAAACUGGGGCUAAUACCGGAUAUGAUCUCCUGCUGCAUGUUGGGGGUUGGAAAGUUUCGGCGGUUGGGGAUGGACUCGCGGCUUAUCAGCUUGUUGGUGGGGUAGUGGCUUACCAAGGCUUUGACGGGUAGCCGGCCUGAGAGGGUGACCGGCCACCUUGGGACUGAGAUACGGCCCAGACUCCUACGGGAGGCAGCAGGGGAGAAUCUUGCACAAUGGCCGGAAGCCUGAUGCAGCAACGCCGCGUGCGGGAUGACGGCCUUCGGGUUGUAAACCGCUUUCGCAUGUGACGAAGCGUGAGUGACGGUAAUGGGUAAAGAAGCAACGGCUAACUACGUG